UCAGGACGAACGCUGGCGGCGUGCCUAAUACAUGCAAGUCGAGCGAGCGGAACUAACAGAUUUACUUCGGUAAUGACGUUAGGAAAGCGAGCGGCGGAUGGGUGAGUAACACGUGGGGAACCUGCCCCAUAGUCUGGGAUACCACUUGGAAACAGGUGCUAAUACCGGAUAAGAAAGCAGAUCGCAUGAUCAGCUUUUAAAAGGCGGCGUAAGCUGUCGCUAUGGGAUGGCCCCGCGGUGCAUUAGCUAGUUGGUAAGGUAAAGGCUUACCAAGGCGAUGAUGCAUAGCCGAGUUGAGAGACUGAUCGGCCACAUUGGGACUGAGACACGGCCCAAACUCCUACGGGAGGCAGCAGUAGGGAAUCUUCCACAAUGGACGCAAGUCUGAUGGAGCAACGCCGCGUGAGUGAAGAAGGUUUUCGGAUCGUAAAGCUCUGUUGUUGGUGAAGAAGGAUAGAGGUAGUAACUGGCCUUUAUUUGACGGUAAUCAACCAGAAAGUCACGGCUAACUACGUGCCAGCAGCCGCGGUAAUACGUAGGUGGCAAGCGUUGUCCGGAUUUAUUGGGCGUAAAGCGAGCGCAGGCGGAAGAAUAAGUCUGAUGUGAAAGCCCUCGGCUUAACCGAGGAACUGCAUCGGAAACUGUUUUUCUUGAGUGCAGAAGAGGAGAGUGGAACUCCAUGUGUAGCGGUGGAAUGCGUAGAUAUAUGGAAGAACACCAGUGGCGAAGGCGGCUCUCUGGUCUGCAACUGACGCUGAGGCUCGAAAGCAUGGGUAGCGAACAGGAUUAGAUACCCUGGUAGUCCAUGCCGUAAACGAUGAGUGCUAAGUGUUGGGAGGUUUCCGCCUCUCAGUGCUGCAGCUAACGCAUUAAGCACUCCGCCUGGGGAGUACGACCGCAAGGUUGAAACUCAAAGGAAUUGACGGGGGCCCGCACAAGCGGUGGAGCAUGUGGUUUAAUUCGAAGCAACGCGAAGAACCUUACCAGGUCUUGACAUCUAGUGCCAUUUGUAGAGAUACAAAGUUCCCUUCGGGGACGCUAAGACAGGUGGUGCAUGGCUGUCGUCAGCUCGUGUCGUGAGAUGUUGGGUUAAGUCCCGCAACGAGCGCAACCCUUGUUAUUAGUUGCCAGCAUUAAGUUGGGCACUCUAAUGAGACUGCCGGUGACAAACCGGAGGAAGGUGGGGAUGACGUCAAGUCAUCAUGCCCCUUAUGACCUGGGCUACACACGUGCUACAAUGGGCAGUACAACGAGAAGCGAGCCUGCGAAGGCAAGCGAAUCUCUGAAAGCUGUUCUCAGUUCGGACUGCAGUCUGCAACUCGACUGCACGAAGCUGGAAUCGCUAGUAAUCGCGGAUCAGCACGCCGCGGUGAAUACGUUCCCGGGCCUUGUACACACCGCCCGUCACACCAUGGGAGUCUGCAAUGCCCAAAGCCGGUGGCCUAACCUUCGGGAAGGAGCCGUCUAAGGCAGGGCAGAUGACUGGGGUGA
rnacentral:rRNA from 1 species